rnacentral:tRNA from 1 species
GAGGUUGUGGCUCAGCGGUAGAGCACUUGCCUAGCAUGUAUGAGGCCCUGGGUUCGAUCCUCAGCACCACA